AUACGGAGGGUGCAAGCGUUACUCGGAAUCACUGGGCGUAAAGCGCGCGCAGGCGGCUUGAUAAGUUGGAUGUGAAAGCCUACGACUCAACCGUAGAACUGCAUCCAAAACUGUCAAGCUAGAGUCUGGGAGGGGAAGAUGGAAUUAGUUGUGUAGGGGUAAAAUCCGUAGAGAUAACUAGGAAUACCAAAAGCGAAGGCGAUCUUCUGGAACAGUACUGACGCUGAGGCGUGAAAGCGUGGGGAGCAAACAGGAUUAGAAACCCCGGUAGUCC
rnacentral:rRNA from 1 species